AUGAGGCCCAGGAAGGGCCAGGUGGGCUGUGAGGCCCCCAAGGGACCGGGGGCCCUGCGCUGGCCCCUGCUGCUGCUGGGCUUGGCCGUGGGCACCCACGGCUUCCUGUCCUGGACGGAGGCACCUCGGAGCAGGGCCCUGGAGCCCGGGUGGGAAGCAGUCGGUCCAGCAUGCAGAGCGCGUGGAGCAGGUUCCUGCUCCAGCCCAGCCCCCAGGGGGCGGGCGCCAGGUGCUGGCCCCGUGGGUUUUGGUCUGAGCCUCAGUCACUGUGGUAUAUCUUCGGCGGCGGGACCCAGCUCACCGUCCUAGGUCAGUCCAAGGCCGCCCCCUCCGUCACUCUGUUCCCACCCUCCUCUGAGGAGCUCCAAGCCAGCAAGGCCACGCUGGUGUGUCUGAUCAGUGACUUCUACCCGGGCGCCGUCACCGUGGCCUGGAAGGCAGACGGCAGCCCCGUCACCCAGGGCGUGGAGACCACCAAGCCCUCAAAACAGAGCAACAACAAGUACGCGGCCAGCAGCUACCUGAGCCUGUCACCCAGCCAGUGGAAAGCUGCCAACAGGUACAGCUGCCUGGUCACCCACGAAGGCAGCACCGUGGAGAAGACAGUGUGCCCUGCAGAGUGUGCUUAGGCCCCCGGCCCCCCCCACCCUCGGGGGCCUGGAGCUGCAGGAGCCCAGGGGAGGGGUCUCCCCUCCCUCCCAGCCCCUCCCCUGCACCCAAUGAACCCUCAAUAAAUGUCCUCGUUGUCAA